rnacentral:lncRNA from 1 species
AACAUUUCCAUUUCUGAGCACCAACCAGGAGUCAGGAAGGGGUGGGAAGGGGACCCAGGGCAGGUCAGGUCAGCAGGUCAGUGAAAUCAGGUCUUUAAACACCCGUUUAACACUCUUUUGCAGCUGGAAAGCCCGACUUUUGGCUUCACUGUAUUUAUUUUCAUGGUUACCUGUUAUUUACAGUGAAUGUGCCUGGUCUUCUUUUUAUGGUAGUGAUAGGGAAUUUCAUUUCAAUACAUAUAUUUGAAUAAUAAAUCUUAGUCUAUUUAAAGAAGAAAAAGUCAUCAGUGAAUAACACAGGGGAGCUGAAAACUGGCCUGCAAUGCAGGAAUGGUGGAGAUCCAGGAAGCCUUACCUCCUGAGGUCUUCACGGCAGCUCUGAAGCAAGGACUGUCAUCCCCAUUUUACAGCUGGAAAAGCUGAGUCCCCAAGAAAGUAACUUGCCCUCUGCCCCAAGCCAAGUCUGGAAGCUAAGAACCUUCCCCCCUCACCCUCCCACCUUCACCAGUGAAUGAGCUUCCAGACACUCCUCGGCAGUUCAGAAAUCUCCUGAUAUCAGGGGUUCUAAUCCAGGCCCUGGUGCCACCAUUGACAAACUGUGGCUUUGUACAGUUGUCUAACUCUUUGUCCUUGGUUAGUGAUAUGGUUUGGCUGUGUCUCCAUCCAAAUCUCAUUUUGAACUGUAGCUCCCAUAAUUCCUAUGUGUCAUGGGAGAGACCUGAUGAGGGGUAAUUGAAUCACGAGGGUGGGUCUUUCCUGUGUUGUUCUAGUGAUACUGAAUAAGUCUCAUAAGAUCAGAUGGUUUUAUAAAGGGGAGUUCCCCUGCACAUGCUCUCUUGCCUGCCACCAUGUAAGAUGUGACUGCUCCUCAUUCGCCCUCCACCAUGAUUGUGAGGCCUCCCCAGCCAUGUGGAGCAUGGUGAAAUUAGACCCAUUACAUCUUCUGGAGAAACUGGAAGGGGCUUGCAGUAGGUUGAAUGGUGGCCGCCCCAGAAGAUAUGUCCUUGGAACCUGCUAAUGAAACCUUACUUGAAAAAGGCAUCUUUGGGCCGGGCACAGUGGCUCACACCUGUAAUCCCAGCACUUUGCGAGGCCAAGGCCAGUGGAUCACCUG